AGGAGCCUCUGACGGUUGUGAUUCCAGAGUCGGGGUUUUGAGGGCGAGAUGAGUUUAUGUUUUAUCCAACUGGCCCACAAAGUCCCGCUUUUGGUGGUCACUUUAAUCAACAAGGGAAC
rnacentral:pre_miRNA from 12 species